rnacentral:rRNA from 1 species
CCUACGGGAGGCAGCAGUGGGGAAUUUUGGACAAUGGGCGCAAGCCUGAUCCAGCAAUGCCGCGUGAGUGAAGAAGGCCUUCGGGUUGUAAAGCUCUUUUGUCAGGGAAGAAACGGUGGGAGCUAAUAUCUCCCGCUAAUGACGGUACCUGAAGAAUAAGCACCGGCUAACUACGUGCCAGCAGCCGCGGUAAUACGUAGGGUGCAAGCGUUAAUCGGAAUUACUGGGCGUAAAGCGUGCGCAGGCGGUUUUGUAAGUCUGUCGUGAAAGCCCCGGGCUCAACCUGGGAAUUGCGAUGGAGACUGCAAGGCUUGAAUCUGGCAGAGGGGGGUAGAAUUCCACGUGUAGCAGUGAAAUGCGUAGAGAUGUGGAGGAACACCGAUGGCGAAGGCAGCCCCCUGGGUCAAGAUUGACGCUCAUGCACGAAAGCGUGGGGAGCAAACAGGAUUAGAUACCCUGGUAGUCCACGCCCUAAACGAUGUCUACUAGUUGUCGGGUUUUAAUUAACUUGGUAACGCAGCUAACGCGUGAAGUAGACCGCCUGGGGAGUACGGUCGCAAGAUUAAAACUCAAAAGGAAUUGACGG